CACGAGCCUUAAAUGAUGGAGAAUGAGUGAGAAUGGAGCAUUCCUACCCUCACUCUAAUUAUUUUGGAUGCAAGAUGUUUGGCUUGUUAUCUAGAAUAAUCACCUCCGUCCAUAGACUUUACUGCAAUCUAAUCACAAACUCUUUUCAUAAAACCCUUCUUUAAGGUAAAAUCAACACAACCCAUCAAAUCUUACUUUUUGUGCCUUAGGCACCAAUCCGAAAACCCUUUUCUCAAA
rnacentral:lncRNA from 1 species